rnacentral:lncRNA from 13 species
AUGAGACGACACACAACAUAUGAUGAAGACCUGCGAGAUGCUACCAGGAGGAAAAGCGAGAAGGACCCUGAGGAUAAACAACACGAAUCCACCAUUUACUCAUUCAGGACACGGGAGCAGGACACAGCAGCCACAGGCUUCCAGCGCUUCCUCAAUGUCCUCAACAAAGGGGUGGACAUCAACAAGCUCUCAAAUAUUGUCAACAACGUGAAUGAGUUACCCCCUAUGCAGGAGGGCCAUCCCAUGACUACCUACAGGAGUGAGUAUAAGGGGGCCCCAGCUCAGAGCUCUCAGGAUUGCUUGGGACCCCACAGUAGAGCUCUGCCACAGGACCACAGUCACUCACACAUUCUUGGAGAAAGGAGGCUGGAUCUCCCACACGGCCAGCUCCAGAGCCUGCUGGAGUCCAUCGGGCUAGACCUGGGGGUGGAGGAGUUGGGCCGACUGUCAGACCGGACCAAGGAGAGGCUGUACGGGAUGAAGAGAGACCAGGAGAGGAGUCCCCUGACGUCAGACAGGCACUCUAGAACUAGAGACUGGGACAGAGAACGAGACGAGGACACAGAGAGGAACGGAUCUAAGAGAAACGGAGAAAGAGACAGAGAGAGAGACUGGGUCAGUUCUGAGCGAGACCGAGAGAGAGACGGGGACAAAUCUGAGCGAGAUAGGGACAGGCGCUCUAAUACCAGGGACAGGCACUCUGGUUCCAGGGACAGGCGCUCUAGUACCAGGGACAGGGACAGACACUCUGGUUCCAGACACUCUGGUACCAGAGACAGCAACAGGGACAGGCGCUCUAGUACCAGGGACAGAGACGAGGACAGGCGCUCUAGUGCCAGGGACAGAGACGAGGACAGGCGCUCUAGUGCCAGGGACAGAAACAGGGACAGGCGCUCUAGUGCCAGGGACAGGCGCUCUAGUACCAGGGACAGGCGUUCUAAUACCAGGGACAGGCGCUCUAGUACCAGGGACAGAGACAGGGACAGGCGCUCUAGUACCAGGGACAGAGAAAGGGACAGGCGCUCUAGUAACAGGGACCGAGACCGGGACAGGCGCUCUAGUAACAGGGACAGAGACAGGAACAGGCGCUGUAGUACCAGGGACUGUGACAGAGAUGGCGACUGGGCCGAAGGAAGCGACAAUGAUUGGUAUAGGGACAAGUCCAAGGAAAGCUCUGCUGAGCUCAACACNNNNNNNNNNAGCCCACUAGCAACCCCCAGGUCACAUCUACCAAGCCCGCUAGCACCCGCCAGCUUACAUACAUCCAGACUGCUAGCAACCCCCAGGUCACACCUACCCAGCCCGAUAAUGAACUCAAGUUCACAAGCAUGGCUGUACUGACGCCAGCACUGAAAGUGUUGACCCCAGGCCCCAUCUCCUUGAACAAGGCCCAACAACUGAAGGAGCUGUCACCCCCCCGCUGUCUGCAUUACGUUAAGACGGUGGUGCCCAAGGGAAGCAAACGCCGCAUGAGACGGUCAAGAGUCACGAGAAAUAGGCAGGCGCUUGAAGAAAGGUGUAAUAAAUACAGGAAAGAGGUUCUGAGAAAGAGGAGAAUAUAUCGAGAUCUCCAAGGGAAGAGAGAUGGACUGAUUGCAAGAGCUGCAGCGAAAGUGGCCGCUCGGUUAGCUGCAAAGUACCCCAGGGCCCUCUCUGAAGCGGAGGCAGAGAGCGAUGUUGAAGGGGAGAAAAAAACAAUGCCAGAAGAAGUGAUUAAGGGGAAACUAAAGAAGAAGGUUUGUAAUUACUUCUGGAAGUACAUUAUUAUCAUUGGUACGAUAGACCGUGGCUUACUUCUAUGCUGUUCUCACUUUGUCGUUAUUGCUUGUGUCUUUUUGCUAGCGAUAUUAUUCACCAUUCAGUCAUAUUUUUAUUGACAUGC